AGUCAUAUGCUUGUCUCAAAGAUUAAGCCAUGCAUGUCUAAGUAUAAACAACUUUAUACUGUGAAACUGCGAACGGCUCAUUAUAUCAGCAAUAAUUUAUUUGAUGGUUCCUUACUACACGGAUAACUGUAGUAAUUCUAGAGCUAAUACGUGCGUAAAAUCCCGACUCUUGCGGGGAGGGAUGUAUUUAUUAGAUAAAAAGCCAGCGCGGGUUCUGCCCGGUUUUGUGGUGAAUCAUAGUAACUUUUCGAAUCGCAUGGCUUCACGCCGGCGAUAGUUCAUUCAAAUUUCUGCCCUAUCAGCUUUCGACGGUAGUGUAGUGGACUACCGUGGCGUUAACGGGUAACGGAGAAUUAGGGUUCGAUUCCGGAGAGGGAGCCUGAGAAACGGCUACCACAUCCAAGGAAGGCAGCAGGCGCGCAAAUUACCCAAUUCUGACACAGAGAGGUAGUGACAAAAAAUAACAAUACCUGGCUUCUUUAGGUCGGGUAAUUGGAAUGAGUACAAUUUAAAUCCCUUAACGAGGAUCCAU
rnacentral:rRNA from 1 species